rnacentral:rRNA from 1 species
AGAGUUUGAUCCUGGCUCAGAUUGAACGCUGGCGGCAUGCUUUACACAUGCAAGUCGAACGGCAGCACGGGUGCUUGCACCUGGUGGCGAGUGGCGAACGGGUGAGUAAUGCACCGGAACGUACCCAGUAAUGGGGGAUAACACAUCGAAAGAUGUGCUAAUACCGCAUACGCCCUGAGGGGGAAAGCGGGGGAUCGUAAGACCUCGCGUUAUUGGAGCGGCCGAUGCCGGAUUAGCUAGUUGGUGAGGUAAGAGCUCACCAAGGCGACGAUCCGUAGCUGGUCUGAGAGGACGACCUGCCACACUGGGACUGAGACACGGCCCAGACUCCUACGGGAGGCAGCAGUGGGGAAUUUUGGACAAUGGGCGCAAGCCUGAUCCAGCCAUGCCGCGUGAGUGAAGAAGGCCUUCGGGUUGUAAAGCUCUUUCGCAAGGAAAGAAAACUUAUCUACUAA